GUCCAUCAGGUCAUGCUGGGGACUCUAACAAAACUGCCGCGUAAGCGUGGAGGAAGGUGGGGAUGACGUCAAAUCAGCACGGCCCUUACGUCCAGGGCUACACACGUGCUACAAUGGCCGGUACAGAGGGCAGCCACUUGGUGACAAGGAGCAAAAUCUCAAAAGCCGGUCUCAGUUCGGAUCGGAGUCUGCAACUCGACUCCGUGAAGUUGGAUUCGCUAGUAAUCGUAGAUCAGCAAUGCUACGGUGAAUACGUUCCCGGGCCUU
rnacentral:rRNA from 1 species